rnacentral:tRNA from 1 species
GGCGGUGAAUGCAAAGCGUCGCGCAGGUAGUUUUUCAAGCUAUCCCUAGCGAGUUCAAGUCUCGCCACCGCUGCCA